AACAGUGUAGCAUAGUGGUUUGAGCAUUGGACUACAACUCUGGGGAUCAGGGUGCAAAUCCCUGCUCUGCCA